rnacentral:rRNA from 1 species
AACGAACGCUGGCGGCAGGCCUAACACAUGCAAGUCGAACGAAGUCUUCGGACUUAGUGGCGGACGGGUGAGUAACACGUGGGAACGUGCCUUUAGGUUCGGAAUAACUCAGGGAAACUUGUGCUAAUACCGAAUGUGCCCUUCGGGGGAAAGAUUUAUCGCCUUUAGAGCGGCCCGCGUCUGAUUAGCUAGUUGGUGAGGUAAAGGCUCACCAAGGCUACGAUCAGUAGCUGGUCUGAGAGGAUGACCAGCCACAUUGGGACUGAGACACGGCCCAAACUCCGACGGGAGGCAGCAGUGGGGAAUCUUGCGCAAUGGGCGAAAGCUUGACGCAGCCAUGCCGCGUGGAUGAUGAAGGUCUUAGGAUUGCAAAAUCCUUUCACCGGUGAAGAUAAUGACUGUAGCCGGAGAAGAAGCCCCGGCUAACUUCGUGCCAGCCGCCGCCGUAAGAC